rnacentral:rRNA from 2 species
GGACUACAGGGGUAUCUAAUCCCGUUUGCUCCCCUGGCUUUCGCGCCUCAGCGUCAGGAGGGGUCCAGCACGCCGCUUUCGCCACCGGCGUUCCUUCCGAUAUCUACGCAUUUCACCGCUCCACCGGAAGUUCCGCAUGCCCCUACCCCCCUCGAGCUCCCCAGUAUCAGGGGCCCUUGCCCGGUUGGGCCGGGCGAUUUCACCCCUGACUUGAGAAGCCGCCUACGCGCCCUUUAAGCCCAGUGAAUCCGAACAACGUUCGCACGGUUCGUCUUACCGCGGCUGCUGGCAC